CCUACGGGUGGCAGCAGUCGAGAAUCAUUCACAAUGGGGGAAACCCUGAUGGUGCGACGCCGCGUGGGGGAAUGAAGGUCUUCGGAUUGUAAACCCCUGUCAUGUGGGAGCAAAUUAAAAAGAUAGUACCACAAGAGGAAGAGACGGCUAACUCUGUGCCAGCAGCCGCGGUAAUACAGAGGUCUCAAGCGUUGUUCGGAAUCACUGGGCGUAAAGCGUGCGUAGGCUGUUUCGUAAGUCGUGUGUGAAAGGCGCGGACUCAACCCGCGGACGGCACAUGAUACUGCGAGACUAGAGUAAUGGAGGGGGAACCGGAAUUCUCGGUGUAGCAGUGAAAUGCGUAGAUAUCGAGAGGAACACUCGUGGCGAAGGCGGGUUCCUGGACAUUAACUGGCGCUGAGGCACGAAGGCCAGGGGAGCGAAAGGGAUUAGAUACCCUGGUAGUC
rnacentral:rRNA from 1 species